rnacentral:rRNA from 1 species
GACGAACCGUGCGAACGUUGUUCGGAAUCACUGGGCUUAAAGGGCGCGUAGGCGGGUCGGCAAGUCAGGGGUGAAAGCCCGCGGCUCAACCGCGGAAGUGCCUCUGAUACUGCCGACCUCGAGGGAGGUAGGGGCGUGCGGAACUUCCGGUGGAGCGGUGAAAUGCGUAGAUAUCGGAAGGAACACCGGUGGCGAAAGCGGCGCGCUGGACCUCUUCUGACGCUGAGGCGCGAAAGCCAGGGGAGCAAACGGG